GCCCUCGUAGUUCAAUGGAUAGAACGUAGGCCUCCGAAGCUUAAGAUACAGGUUCGACUCCUGUCGAGGGCACCA
rnacentral:tRNA from 1 species